UUCAGAUCGCAGUCUGCAACCCGACUGCGUGAAGUCGGAAUCGCUAGUAAUCGCGGAUCAGCAUGCCGCGGUGAAUACGUUCCCGGGCCUUGUACACACCGCCCGUCACACCAUGAGAGUCGGGAACACCCGAAGUCCGUAGCCUAACCGCAAGGGGGCGCGGCCGAAGGUGGGUUCGAUAAUUGGGGUGAAGUCGUAACAAGGUAGC
rnacentral:rRNA from 1 species